AGAGAUUUGCAUGUGCCUAGAGAACAACCCACUACCAUAAAGAAUUCUUAUAGGUCUCACGUAUUCCAUGCAGGAGACAGAAUCAGGGCAAACUAUGGCCAUGAACAUUCCUGUUCAGCUCUUGUGGCUACUGGUGCUCUUGAUCACAGGUGUAUCAUGUGACAUCCAGAUGACCCACGCCACAUCAUUUCUCUCUACUUCUCUAGGAGACCAUCUUACCAUCAACUGCAGGUCCAAUAAGGAUAUUAACAAGUAUUUAGCUUGGGUUCAACAGAAACCAGGGAAGGCUCCUAGGAUGUUGAUUCAUUUUGCAUCCACUUUGCUACCUGGGGUUCCAGCAAAGUUCGAAGGUAGUGGAUCUGGAACAGAUUUUUCUCUCACUGUUAGAAACAUUGAGUCUCAAGAUAUUGCAAUGUAUUACUGUCUACAGUAUUCUGAGCAUCCUUCCACAAUGAUACAAGCCAUAACAUAAACCCCUA